rnacentral:lncRNA from 1 species
GUUCGUCAGCACUGACUCGGCUGAGCUGACUGAGGAGGCAGAUGUCCCCUUCCUUCCUCACUGCUCUCUCUGCGCACCCUGCCCCCCAACCCCCUGGAGCUGCACACAUGGAGACACUGGCAAACAAACAGGAAGGGAAGCCAUGAUCUGGAGCAAAAUUGUCUAGGGUAAGAGGGUAGCCGGGAAUUGGGACUAAGAACUAGGAAACUCUAACGUUGAGGGGCCAAGUGGUGAGGGCUGAGCCUAAAAGGAGGCAGAAAAAUAGAUGCUAGGAGGAUGGUAGGAGGAAAAUCAGAAAAAUGUGGUGUUGUGGAAGCCAAGGGAAAAGAUGUCUCGAACAGUAAAGAGGCAUAAGCAAAAUGCGGCCUAUACACACAAUACAAUAUUAUUUUUUCUCGUUUUCUUUUGCUUUUGAGACAGAGUUUUGCUCUUGUCACCCAGGCUGGA